rnacentral:rRNA from 1 species
UACGUAGGGUGCAAGCGUUAAUCGGAAUUACUGGGCGUAAAGCGUGCGCAGGCGGCUUUGCAAGACAGAUGUGAAAUCCCCGGGCUCAACCUGGGAACUGCAUUUGUGACUGCAUGGCUAGAGUGCGGCAGAGGGGGAUGGAAUUCCGCGUGUAGCAGUGAAAUGCGUAGAUAUGCGGAGGAACACCGAUGGCGAAGGCAAUUCCCUGGGCCUGCACUGACGCUCAUGCACGAAAGCGUGGGGAGCAAACAGG